rnacentral:misc_RNA from 1 species
GGAGGUAAAAGUCGUAACAAGGUUUCCGUAGGUGAACCUGCGGAAGGAUCAUUAUUGUAUAACCGAGGUGCGAGGGCUGUCGCUGACCCGAAAGGUCGUGCACGCCCGAGUGCCCUCACACACACCCAUCUCAACCCUAUGUGCACCACCGCGUGGGUCCCCCUUUGGCUUGUUCGGAGGGGGGCUUACGUUUUCACACAAACUUUGUAUGCAGUGUAGAAUGUAUUUUAUGUUUUUGCGAUCACGCAAUCAAUACAACUUUCAACAACGGAUCUCUUGGCUCUC